rnacentral:lncRNA from 1 species
UCAGCUUUAGAAAGUUGCAAAAUUUAGAGAGAGAAGGAAGCAAUUUUCCUUGCGGUUAAGUCAUAGCAUUAUCAAGUCACCUUUUAACUAUUUUUUCUUCCAUCUUCCUCCAGCAGUUAUGAUCUUCGGGCAAUAUCAAUAUGGUUUGUAUAAAAUAUGGUUAGUAUAAGUGGGUUUUUGUUUAAGAAAUUUAAUUCUAAAAACAAAGUAUGACGAGUACAAUGAAAAAAAAAGUGUUAGUUGUUCAUGUGGAUUAUCAUGUCAAUUGCAACAUAUGUAUAGAUUGUAGAAAUAAAAGAAAAUUGCUCAGCACCCAUAGUUCAUUUGUUCAUUUAUAUAAAGUAGCACGAUAUGUAUAUUUUUUUAACUGACAAAAAAAUAUAAUUAUUUUUCUCAAAGAUAAAAGUUCCUAAAUCUUGAUUAUGUAUUAUAGUCAUUCCCAAUUCAUCUUAACCGUUAAGAUAAUUUCC